rnacentral:lncRNA from 1 species
UCAAAUUGGAUAUUGUUUGUUUGCUGUAUUUGACUCCUACCUCUCCUCUCUGAGUUCUAGGUGAAAUGCAUGGUCCUCCUUCCUACUUUAUCUGUGAAAUUGUCAGUUGAAAAUGACUUCCAGCUCUAGACUAUACAAUGAAUUCCAUGACUCUGUGGAAUCUCUGAAAUUCUGGCCCACAACACUACAGACAUCAUUCCAAUAAGCAACAGAGUAACAGAUGAGUCUUUUGUAUGAUCAUAUAUGGCUCAAGCCCAGGCAAGGGGAUGCUCCUCCUAUUUUAAAGAUUCAUAAGAGAACCAAGCUGCACUUCAUCAGUCUCCACAGAGUUUGCUGCUAUGCUGAAAGAAAACUUUCCCUCCAACCUGAUUGUUUUGGAAGUUUGUUAAAACUGAAGAUUUCUGAGGCUAAAAAUUGUGCCACAUGUGAUUCAUGAAAAACAUUAAAGUUUCAACUAAUGACACUGUGUCGCCUUAUUUAUUUCCAAGAAAAAAAGAGAUCAAAAUUGGGGAGGGGGCUAAAGAAGCUGGCUAGAUAGCUCAGUGAGUUAGGCAUCUGACUGCAGAGCUAAAGCU